rnacentral:pre_miRNA from 1 species
AAUAAGUUUAUUUUUCAGUUAUUGGAUACAAUAUUUUGACUCUUUAUUUUAUUUGAAUUUUUUUUGCGAUUAAUAUUUUUAUUGUUACUAGAUAAUAAAACAUGAAUAGUACUUUAUGUGUGACUAAUUUUUUAAAGUUUUUUUACAAAAUUUUCAAAUAAGACAAAUAUGGUCAACCGUUGGACACAGAAAUCGAAAAAUAAAGUUAUU